rnacentral:tRNA from 1 species
GCCGAAGUAGUAUAGUCCGGUCAAGUAUGCGAGGCUUUCGACCUUGAAACCCGGGUUCGAAUCCCGGCUUCGGCA